rnacentral:rRNA from 1 species
CAGGACGAACGCUGGCGGCGUGCUUAACACAUGCAAGUCGAGCGGUAAGGCUCCUUCGGGAGUACACGAGCGGCGAACGGGUGAGUAACACGUGAGCAACCUACCCCUUUCAUCGGAAUAACCAGUGGAAACGCUGGCUAAUGCCGAAUACGACCACCGAAGGCAUCUUCUGGUGGUGGAAAGCUCCGGCGGAGAGGGAUGGGCUCGCGGCCUAUCAGCUAGUUGGUGAGGUAAUGGCUCACCAAGGCAACGACGGGUAGCCGGCCUGAGAGGGUGACCGGCCACACUGGGACUGAGACACGGCCCAGACUCCUACGGGAGGCAGCAGUGGGGAAUAUUGGACAAUGGGCGAAAGCCUGAUCCAGCAACGCCGCGUGAGGGAUGACGGCCUUCGGGUUGUAAACCUCUUUCAGUAGGGACGAAGCGAAAGUGACGGUACCUACAGAAGAAGGACCGGCCAACUACGUGCCAGCAGCCGCGGUAAUACGUAGGGUCCGAGCGUUGUCCGGAAUUAUUGGGCGUAAAGGGCUCGUAGGCGGUUUGUCGCGUCGGGAGUGAAAACUCAGGGCUCAACCCUGAGCGUGCUUCCGAUACGGGCAAACUAGAGGUAUGCAGGGGAGAAUGGAAUUCCUGGUGUAGCGGUGGAAUGCGCAGAUAUCAGGAGGAACACCGGUGGCGAAGGCGGUUCUCUGGGCAUUACCUGACGCUGAGGAGCGAAAGCAUGGGGAGCGAACAGGAUUAGAUACCCUGGUAGUCCAUGCCGUAAACGUUGGGCG